UAAUAUCUUGUCGAGUAAUGUUAUGAUUUUCUUGUUUAUUUUGCACUGAAUUACGGGGGGCCUUAAUCCUCAUAUUUUCUUAUGAUUUUGAGCACAUAAAUAAUUUUCUGUUGCAGACGACAACAUGAGGAAAUCAGUAUAAAUUGCUGAAAUUGGUCAACGCGAAAGGGUGGUUACGUGCGUUGAGUUGCUAGCUAGUAUUAUAUGUGGGUCCUGAAAUGGACGUGUCAAAUAUUUUUUUGUUGCCCAAGUACGCAGAGUAUCGUCGUGCUAUCAUAAAGUAAUAACAAAAUAAUUAAUUAAUAAAUUAAAUUUUAAAUUUAAUAAUCUAAAUUUUAAUCUUAAUAUCUUAAUAAAUUUAACAAUAUUUAAAAAAUCUUACAUCAAACUAAAUAAAAUUUUUAAUCUAAAAUAGAAAUAUCGAUGUUCUACUUCUAAUUAUUCUCCUAUGCAUAUUCUCAUAUCAUCCUGAUUCUUAAAAUAUAUAAGAACAAUAAAAUAUAAGGUAAUGAGCUAGAUAAUCCA
rnacentral:lncRNA from 1 species